GUGAGGAAUAUUGGUCAAUGGGCGGGAGCCUGAACCAGCCAAGUCGCGUGAAGGAAGAAGGAUCUAUGGUUCGUAAACUUCUUUUGCAGGGGAAUAAAGUGCAGGACGUGUCCUGUUUUGUAUGUACCCUGAGAAUAAGGAUCGGCUAACUCCGUGCCAGCAGCCGCGGUAAUACGGAUGAUCCGAGCGUUAUCCGGAUUUAUUGGGUUUAAAGGGUGCGUAGGUGGUUUGAUAAGUCAGCGGUGAAAGUUUGCAGCUUAACUGUAAAAAUGCCGUUGAAACUGUCGUAAUUGAGUGUAAAUGAGGUAGGCGGAAUGCGUGGUGUAGCGGUGAAAUGCAUAGAUAUCACGCAGAACUCCGAUUGCGAAGGCAGCUUACUAAGCUACAACUGACACUGAAGCACGAAAGCGUGGGGAUCAAACAGGAUUAGAAACCCUUGUAGUCC
rnacentral:rRNA from 1 species